AACCAACAGGGAUUGCCCUAGUAACGGCGAGUGAAGCGGCAACAGCUCAAAUUUGAAAUCUGGCGCAAGCCCGAGUUGUAAUUUGUAGAGGAUGCUUCUGGGUAGCGGCCGGUCUAAGUUCCUUGGAACAGGACGUCAUAGAGGGUGAGAAUCCCGUAUGUGACUGGCUUGCACCCUCCACGUAGCUCCUUCGACGAGUCGAGUUGUUUGGGAAUGCAGCUCUAAAUGGGAGGUAAAUUUCUUCUAAAGCUAAAUACCGGCCAGAGACCGAUAGCGCACAAGUAGAGUGAUCGAAAGAUGAAAAGCACUUUGGAAAGAGAGUUAAAAAGCACGUGAAAUUGUUGAAAGGGAAGCGCCCGCAACCAGACUUUGCGGCAGUGUUCGGCCGGUCUUCUGACCGGUUUACUCGCUGUCGUGAGGCCAUCAUCGUCUGGGACCGCUGGAUAAGACCUUAGGAAUGUGGCUCCCCUCGGGGAGUGUUAUAGCCUCUGGUGAUGCAGCGCGUCUCGGGCGAGGUCCGCGCUUCGGCAAGGAUGAUGGCGUAAUGGUUGUCGGCGGCCCGUCUUGAAACACGGACCAAGGAGUCUAACAUCUAUGCGAGUGUUCGGGUGUCAAACCCCUACGCGUAAUGAAAGUGAACGGAGGUGGGAACUUUUUGUGCACCAUCGACCGAUCCUGAUGUCCUCGGAUGGAUUUGAGUAAGAGCAUAGCUGUUGGGACCCGAAAGAUGGUGAACUAUGCCUGAAUAGGGUGAAGCCAGAGGAAACUCUGGUGGAGGCUCGCAGCGGUUCUGACGUGCAAAUCGAUCGUCAAAUUUGGG
rnacentral:rRNA from 1 species